UGGGGGAUAUUGCACAAUGGGCGAAAGCCUGAUGCAGCGACGCCGCGUGGGGGAUGAAGGCCUUCGGGUUGUAAACUUCUUUUGCUCUGAACAAGGCGCACCAUGGGGUGUGUUGAGUGUAGGGGUUGAUUAGCGCCGGCUAACUACGUGCCAGCAGCCGCGGUAAUACGUAGGGCGCGAGCGUUGUCCGGAAUUAUUGGGCGUAAAGGGCUUGUAGGUGGCUGGUUGCGUCUGUCGUGAAAGCUCAUGGCUUAACUGUGGGUUUGCGGUGGGUACGGGCUGGCUUGAGUGCAGUAGGGGAGGCUGGAAUUCUUGGUGUAGCGGUGGAAUGCGCAGAUAUCAGGAGGAAUACCGGUGGCGAAGGCGGGUCUCUGGGCUGUUACUGACACUGAGGAGCGAAAGCAUGGGGAGCGAACAGG
rnacentral:rRNA from 1 species